CAAGCCCCCAAAACUUCCAGAGAAGACACCCAAGAGGCGUCUUUGCCAUGGGCUGAGGGGCUCCCCCAAAGGCAGUGGCAGUUCCCAUGUGACAGAUGCUGUCUCCGGGUUCCCGGGGUCCUUCCUGAAAGGGGCCCAGGAAACAAGCAGCUUUGUGGAUCCUCCCCACCUCUGGCCACCUAUGUUCUCUGGGUGUGCUUCUCACAUCUCCCCAAGUUGUAAUAACUGUUGGCCGGGAUGCUCAGUCCUCCCCAGCAGGUUGUGUGCUCCUUGGGGGCGGGGGCCUGUCCUGUUGUCUCCUGACCCUGGUGUCCAGCACAGGUAGGGGACAUUCAUGGAUGUGCACGGUGGUGUCUAUUCCAGGCUUGGGACAGUUCCACAACCCAGGUUGGAGGGAAAUGGCGCUCAAGUCUGGUUCCCCCCAGAUCUCCCAGGUGAUACAGCUUCUACCCCUGUUCCACUGAAUGACCUCACUUCCUCUGUGACCCGUCAGCUCAUCCAGGAUUCCUCAAACCAGCAUGUGUGACCCGCUUCAUCACAGCAAGAGAGGUCAGGUGCCACAGAUGGAUGUUGUAAAUGGUGCCAGCUGUCUCCCCCGGGGCCUCAAGGCUCCCCCCUCCCCCCACCCCUCCCCUGUACGGCCGGUGACCCCUGAGAGUGAUUAUUAGCGCCUAGGGGCAGCUCUGCCCUGCAGGCUGGUCAAGCUGGGUUUGUCUGGACCUUCUGAACUUGUCAUUGUGUUCUUCUCAGCCCCAGGCUCUGUGGGAGACCACCCUCUGGGGUGUUUGGUCUGAAGAACCCCCGUGUGCGCAGUUUCCCCACACCCACCACCUCGGCUCUGGUUUGCUUUCGCGCUAUGAAUGUCUGCUUCCCCAUCUCAACCCUCCUGGGAGGAUGUCACAAACACGCACAGCCUCUGGCUCCACACACUCCCGCCUCGGCCCCAGGAGCCCCCGAUCAUCUCCCAGCCCUGCCCUCUGCCAGCUACCUUGUCCCAGUCCACCACUUUGAACUUUGGCUCCAUCAAAGGGUCUGUCUUCUGAGUGUUCACAGAGGCCACAGUCCCAUUCUCCACGGAGCCCUGGGGAGAGAAGAUACAGGAAUUGCAGAGCCCAUGGGUCACAGGCUGGGGCAGCUAGGUCCACAUGCCCAUAAGAAAUGCAGCCCAGAGAAGACAGUCCCUCUAGGAGCUCCCAUGGGUGGGUCAGCAGCUGUACAUGGGGCAGAACUGGCAGAGAGGUGCCCAGAUGGGCUCAAGGUGAAAUCGAAGUCACAGAGAAGCCAAGUCAGAAGGAAAUGGAAUUGUGGAAUGUACCAGGAAAGUCACAUGGCUGCAGCUGGCCCUGACGUCAUGGGGUGGUGGUGAGGAGGCUGGGGAGGGCAGGAGAGAGGUGGGGAGAGCAAUGCCACUGGGAGGCCUGCCCUCAGAUGCCCCGUGACUAAAGCAUACUGUGGUGCUGGUGACCGUGGUGGGGACCCCGGAAGCAGCGUACUUGGCAAGGACUGAGGAACCGAAGCAGCCCUCUGGGGUUUCUAUUGGCACAAUUCUUCCGUUUUUGCUUCCAAACGAACCAAGAGAAACUGGGGGUGACAGCGAAGCUGGCAUUCUCCGGGGAAACCCAUAUCAACCCAAGUAAAAGUAGACUUCUGUGGUCCUGUC